CUGACCCCCCUGCAGUGGAAGCACAGAUUAAUAACCUCUGGAUUGCUAGGGAAGUCCCCUGAUUAAUUUCUGUACCUGUUUCAUAUGUACUUAGGGAAAAUGGAUUUGGUUGUUAUAUUCAGGAUUUUACCUGUGUCCAUUAUAUCAAGGUUUUUAAUCAAAUUGUCUAAAUAUAUUUAUUGAUUCAUUUUUGUUGCUCGACUGACCAAUAAUUGAGAGAGAGAUGUUGGAUUUGUCAAUUUCUCCCUAUACUACUAAUUUAUAGUAGUACAUAUAAAUUUUUGAUUUAAAUGGUGUGAGACUGCUAGAUGUGUAUCCAUUUAGAAUUCUUAUGUCUUCCUAGUAAGUUGAAAAUUUUUCCAUGAUUUAGUAACAGUUUUUGUCUUAAAGAUCAUUUUUGUGUGUGUGAUUUUGGUGAAGGUAUGCCAAUUCUCCUUUCUGGUGUAUCUUUUUUCGUCCUUUUAAUCUCAACUUUUCCACGUCCUUUAGUUUUAGUUGUCUCUUAAGCAGAACUUCUCCCAGUAUGUCUGCCUUUUAACUUAUGGGCUUAAUCCACUUAUAUCUGUGAGGAUUAUGACUACUGUGAAUAUAAACUUCCACCAUCUAAAUGAGGGCACAGAAGAGAAUGAGAGUCUUGAGGUCAUACAUCUUCACCAGUCAUUAAAAUGAGUGAUCUGACAACUCAGACCUGUUGAUUGCCUUCCACUUUUCCUCAAUAGGGCUUCUAUUAAGUUUCGAAUCUUGAGAAAAUGUUACUUUCUGAUUAGGCAUAGGAAUGGAAUCAAAUCUUUGGGAAAUUAAAGAAUCCACUUAAUUUCUCAAAAGAUUUCUCAGGAAACUCUGAGACGUAACAGAGGGUUGAGUGCUGGACAGAACUGACUGCUAAUCUUUGCUUGGUCCUUUUCUAACUAUGUGAUUUGGGGUACAUUCCUGAAUUGCUCUGAGGCUCAUUCUUCAGCUUGAAAUAAAAAAUCACCACACCAGUUUCCCCAGGAUUCUCUGCCUGUGGAUGGGAUCGCCUGUCAUAGAGGGGGUGCCCAGACUGUGUUUUCACUCUCUAUGUUCCUCCUUCCUCUUUCCAAGGGCAUGGCCUUAAUGAUGUCAAGAACAUUUUGUAAAUAUUACAAUAAGAUGUGUCACUGUGAUUAUUACUUAUUAAAAUCACUUUGCUUUCUGACUUAGGUGAUUCAUUUCAACUAAAAGAAAGAUUUGAGCAAAACAAUAACUGCCUCAUUUCAGCAGCUGGUUCUGUGUUGAUCAUGAUGUCAGUCUACACUGGCAUAGAUUUCAGGUGAACACCCAGCCGGGUGACCAGCUGUUGUCUGCUAAAGUGAGCUGAAACAGCAGUUGACUCAGCAUGCAACGUCCAGUGAGAAGGCCGGAGGACUGCCACAUUCCAGACCCCACAGGUGAGAAAGUCAGGCUUGGAUCAGGUGACCCUGGGCCUCUGGCUGUGGCGGCCAAGCCCACAGGACUACAAGGACCCCGGCAAGUGAGCGUGGUAGACCAGUUCACUCCAGCAGCCCACGUGCACUGGAUGAGGAGGAGCACACAAAACACAGACAACUCUAAAGUACACAAACCUGAAUGCAUCGGCUAGGCCAGGCUCUUUAGCCAAGGUGAAAUGACACCGGUUGUAGGGAGUUAGGGAUUUAUGAGGCCCCAGGGCAAAGUAACAAUGCAGGACUCCUUGUUCAAAGAGCAGAAAAGGGAUUUCCUUGGCAGUCCAGAGGUAAAGACUUUGCCUUCCAAUGCGGGGGAUGCGGGUUCAAACCCUGAUUGGAGAGCUA